CAGUCGCCGCGGUAAAACCAGCAGCCCAAGUGGUGGUCGCGAUUAUUGGGCCUAAAGCGCUCGUAGCCGGGCCGGUAAGUCCCUUGUGAAAUCGGACGGCCUAACCGUUCGGCGUGCAAGGGAUACUGUCGGUCUUGAGGCCGGGAGACGUCCGAGGUACUCCGGGGGUAGCGGUGAAAUGUUCUGAUCCUCGGGGGACCACCGGUGGCGAAGGCGUUCGACGAGAACGGGCCUGACGGUGAGGGGCGAAGGCUAGGGGAGCAAACGGGAUUAGAUACCCCCGUAGUCCCUGUCUCUUAUU
rnacentral:rRNA from 1 species